CAUGCUCCCAUGUGGGACAAAAUCUUCUUCUGCAGGGCAUAAAGGGAGAAUCUCCUGGUUUUCCUCAUCAGAAACAUGCAAAGGUGAAAAAGGGUCAUGAAAAUGAUGUCUGCGGAUCUUCCAAUUCUCUGCUGGGCAUUUGAACUUAAAAUGCCAGCAAUGCUUCUCUCCCUUGCUCUCAAGAGGAAAGCUAUAUCUGGAGUAGGGCAACAUGCCUUAAUUUGAGAAAUUUAAUGCCUUCGAAGCGCUACCAAAGCACAAUUAGCAAAUAAAAAAACCCCAGAAGUCAAGGCAGGAGACCUGAGUAUGCAGUUCAAACAUCAAAGGAGUAUUACCUGUGCUUUCAUCUCCCUUUCCUCUUGUGAGUCAAAGAUACAACAUAUCACUGCAUAUUUUAAGCAUUUUCUGUUCUGAAAGCUUAAAUGUCAGUGUAAUUACCCCAAUGGUAAUUUCUGUUUGUUGUUCCAGGCUGGUACUUCAGCAGAAUCUCCCAAUUUUCACAUGAUUAUCUCCAUCUCUGCCUUUGAUAGGUUUGUGUCCAAUUCACUCUGGAUUUGAACUGCUUCACAUUCCUUGAAAAUCUGCUUUGAAUGCUGCCAAAGGAGUUGAGGAUUAUUGACAAAUCUGCUUGAAAAAGACACACGAAGAGCAUCCUUUAUGGUCCAUCUUGUGGUAAAACACGGGCAUUUCUUUGCUCAUUUGAAUGUCAGUGGAUUAUUUAUGCUGGUGCAAUGUUUUCAAGAGAUAAAAUACUCCCCACUGUGCUACAUGCAAAUCUCUGCAAUGUAAACAUAAAUAGUUGUUGCACAUGCAUAAUCAAAGACAUUUUUUAUAAUUAUUGUUGGAUAGUUCAGUCCUCUAAUAGCAUCAUCUGGUGUAAAUCAGUGUAGCUCUACUGAAGCCUGCAAAGCCCCUACCGAUUUGUACCAGAUGGGGCUCAAACUCUUCACUCUAAGUUUAGUCCUUCUAAAAAGAAAAAAAAUGGAGAGAAAGCCCUGGUAGUCCUUGAAAAUGAAGUUCUUUGCUCAUUCAUGAGAAGCUGGUAAAGCAAGAAUGGCAGGGGCUUUUCUUGAUCCAUACUCAGCCCUUAUGUAGGGAGAACAUUUCUGCCACGGAGGAAAGGAGGAGGUUCUGUGCCAAGUGAGCUCCUGCCCCUCUGCUCAGACUCCUGCAAAGAUUUGCCAGAUAAUGGCAUUUAUAACGUGAACUCCUUUCUGCCAAGAUUUGGACCAAGACCACCAGCUCUUUAGCAUGGGCCAGCAGACACUGCCAGAUGCUAAAGAUUUUCAGUUGUUCAGAUCCUCUGCUGCAUUUUGAGACACCCGAAGGUGAAGGGCUGGAAAUCUGGUUUUCUGUCCCCAGAGCGAUCUUGUUUCACUGUCAUUCAGCAUUGUCUUUUCUCCAGCAUUGUACACAGCACAAAGAACUUUCUAAAGCUACUUUGACACCUGGUUUGACUCCAGCUGAAGACAGCAACCUCAAUUUCAUCUUUCUUGUGUUCUGUAGAAAACUGCUCUGAGUUAAUAUAAAAGACAAUAUUCAGCAGCAUCUAUUUUCACAAAUUAAUUCAGACUACGUCAUUCAAAUAGGUGCUAGUGGAAGCUGCCUGUGCAGAUUUCAAUGCUAUAAAUAUACAGUUAUUUCCAAAUCAACAACAGUGUCUUAACUGCUGUACACAGUAUUUUAUCAACAGACACAAAGUUAACUUUGCUUGCAUAAAAAGGGGUGGAAAAUUAGGAGUUUGCUUCCCCUCUUUUGAAUGCCGACAGCAAAAAUAUCCACUAAAUACCAAAAAUUACCUAUUAAUAAUAGAUUGGAGGAGAGAGUUUUGACAGAAGUGAAGAGUACACAUAUACAGCAUAGAUUUACCCACCUUGCAAACAACUUAAAGUCUGUGCUCAGCUCUUUCAGGUUUACCUGUCAGAUUUUUUGCCCAUUGUGUUUUCCAUUUGCCGACAAGAUCCUCCAAAAGAGUUGCUGUUAUUCUUGUAUAGGCUUGACGUGGACAUAAACUUUUUUGCAAGAAGCCUGAGCCACUGUUAGCAGCUCUUGAAGAGCUCCAAGUCCGACGUGGGUUUAAUUUGUGGUGAGUGCCAUGGCAGAAAUGUCUAACAAUAUAAGUCUGUUGGACAUGUCGUCUGGGCUGUCACGUUCAAUUUGCACAUGACCUCCUGGCCAAAAAAUGGGAAAGAAGUGGUAGAAUGUGGGACUGAAAGCUUAUAUUAUUGCUUUGACAGCUUCACUCAUCUAGAAGUAAUGCAAAAUGCAAUUUAUAUUUAUACUCUCUGACCUUCUGUACAGAGAGUGAAACUAUCUAAUGAUGGGCCAUGGUAGCAGAGAAAGAAACAGAUCUCAAUGCAGCUGGAAUUUGUCUACAUUUUUUUUUUUUUUUUUUUUUUUUUUUUUUUGCUUUUCAACCAUUCAAUUACAGUCAGAAGAUAAAUGAAACAUGAAGAGUGUCUUGGUUAGGUAGUGACACAAUUAUUUCAUAGCGAGUAGGUUCUGGCUCUGAGCCUUGGCAAAGGUUGCCAUGCACACCUUGUUUCACUAGAUGCAGAUAAUCUGCCUGCUCCCACCAGACAAAUCCCCUCUGCUUGGAGGUGUGUCCUUCUGCCCAUCACAGGAGGAGAAAAAAGACACCAGCAACUCGGCAGCACUCUUGCCCUGCAUUUCAAUCUCCUCCAGAAAGGCUGAUGCUCUAAUCCUAUUAACCACCAUAAAUCAAGUCAGGCCCUGCUGUAAACAGGGCGUGAGGCAUUUCUGUGGAAAACAGGCAGAGACGAAGAAUGAGCCACGUUCUUCUCAUCUGAGGAGCAGCACGCGGCUUUGUGUCCUCCCAGGGAAAAGAAAUAAAUGCAGCAGCCUUUGAUUGUGACAGGAACCACCAGGUAACACCUGAAGAUCCUUAACAAAACACCCCAGAGCUGGUGUCAGCUCAGCAUCCUUCAGAGGGGCUCGCUGCAGCCACGGUCACAGCAGCAGAAUUUGGCUCAAAGAUUCAGCCUCCAGCUGCAUCUGUUUCUACCUUCUCAUCCAAAUAAGACACAGGAUUUGAAGGAAAAGUUGUUUCCAGGGAUGAGCAUGAAGAGGAGAUAGCAAACAGAAAAAACAAAGUGUGGGGUUUAUGCAUCUCAGGGUAUUUUGGACAACAACAUCGGUUUGAACUCAUCUCUCACUCCAUUGAUCCAUCCUGCUUUAAACAGGAGUCGAUCCAAAGUCCACUGACCUUACUAGUGAGAGUUUUAUAAAUGGUUGGAGGCUGUGAAACAGUUUUAGAAAUUAGGUGUUCGUAUAAAGCAGUUGCUUGUUUUCUGUCUAAUUGUUUUCUUGUGGUUUGCCAUGUUUUUCUAUUGUACACCAAAUUAAUAAAAAUCACUGGAUGAUGAUUUCAACUGAUGUUUAACUUUCUCCAUGGAAUUAAAAAAAAAAAAUAUGUGUUGACAAUAAUAAAACAUUAAACAGA